rnacentral:rRNA from 1 species
UACGUAGGGCGCAAGCGUUGUCCGGAAUUAUUGGGCGUAAAGAGCUCGUAGGCGGCCAGUUGCGUCUGCUGUGAAAUCCCGGGGCUCAACCCCGGGCGUGCAGUGGAUACGGGCUGGCUAGAGGCAGGCAGGGGAGAACGGAAUUCCCGGUGUAGCGGUGAAAUGCGCAGAUAUCGGGAGGAACACCGGUGGCGAAGGCGGUUCUCUGGGCCUGUACUGACGCUGAGGAGCGAAAGCCAGGGGAGCAAACGGG